GCGCCCGUAGCUCAGCUGGAUAGAGCGCUGCCUCCGGAGGCAGGGUCUCAGGUUCGAAUCCUGUCGGGCGCGCCA
rnacentral:tRNA from 1 species